GAACCUUCAUCUUCUGGAAUCAGUUGCCGUGACCUUUUGGUACCCAUCUCAUCCGAUCAAACUCGGUUUUUCUUUGACCAGUCUCCAUUAAUCCAAUCAAUAAUUUCACUCCACCUCCUCUCCCACUCUGCCUCAUUUAUUCAGCCUUAACAUCGUCGAAGGUAACGGUUACAACUCGACCUAUAAAUGUGUGUAGGAUGCGAUGAAGACCUUGACCGCUCAGAUACCGGAAAGAUUAAAUGACAUAUAUCAGAACCGAUGUCGGAUGAGUCUGGUCGUUGUAGCUCCACCAUCGAAGUUCCUCGGCUGAGAAGUCCGUCCAUGUAAAUGUGAGCAUCUGUUCGGGUAGAGAAGGAGAUGGGAUAUGUUCUGUUUCAUCGUUUGGAGGAAGCCACCCCAAUAUCACUUCACCAUCACUCAUACGAUAUGAGUUUCUUGAGGUUCAUGUUGUCUGAGAAAAUAAGCAUAAUGAUGAAUUGAUGAUAUUUUUCAUAAUUAUUCUGUUGGCAUGUUUUGCAGAUAUAUUUUCCAUGAAGACAGUAACUCUGCUCGAGAAUCUAAUACUGCAGGAUUGCUUUGAUCAAGAUGAGAAGGAGUUUUUCUGUUCUUUGGAGAGGAAACUUCAGAUUCCCUAGGCAUAUUUAAAGGCUUUAAAUAGUAUAGAUAUGUAUAGUUUUGCAAGGAUGGACCCGCAACAUACAGGCAUUUGGAGAAGCAGGAUUACAAACUCAAGGAAGCUCAUAAGACCGUGUCAUCCAGAAACUCAUUAUAUCCAUUCAUUUAACAGUUAAGGAAGCUGAUGUAAUUUGUUUCGUUACUCACAGUGCUUUGGAAGGAAAAUAAACAGUUAAAGCUUCUUCUCUAGCAAUUGUUUCUACCGGCUAUAAAGAACAUUAAACAACUUACUUUCUAUAAACCAGGAAAGACCGGUCCGGUUUGUGCUGGGCCUGAAUGGAUGGGUAUAAGAUUAGAUUUUAGUUUUGCAGAGAAGUCGUGUCUUAGGACACUGUUUUGAUACCUAUAUGGCUUAUAUACUAUGAACAUCCAGAACGCGUUUUACUGGUUUUUGGACUCAAUACAAAGAGGUAAAUUCAGAUUUCGUGGUCA